UCUUCCCUGCUUCAUUUUUCUCGAAAGAUUGCUGGUUUCUCGGCGGAGAGGAGAAGGGGGGGGGGAGGGAGAGAGAGGGAGUCACUCCAUUUUUCCUCUUCCUCCCUCCUUCCAGUUGCCGUCGAGGGUGCUGUGAGAGUUGCCGUCUCAUCCGCAGCUGCAGUAGAUCCAUGAGCUUGCAAUCUUCAUCUGUGUGUCGUCGAUUUCUUCCCAUUUCGUCUGUAUUGUGCUGUGGUGCUUUGAAUCCUUUCUCUAUUCCUUCUACACGUUGCCAGUGUGUACACGGGAGUUGUUUCUGUUGCUGCUGGAGGUUUGAUUUGUGGGUCCUUCUCCUCCCCUGUUUUCGCUCACAGCUCGUCUUCUUGAUCUUCAUGUUCUGUCACUGCAAUUUUGGUUCUCCUUCCUUCGGUACUCUUUGCUUUAUUGGCUCAUUGUUGGAUUGAUUAGAAGAUUUUUGGGGAUGCAUUUUUUUUUUUGUUAAUGCUUAAUUAUGUGUUAUAUUUUGAAUUUAUGAUUAGUUGCUCCAUGUUAACUAUAGGUAAGAUUAUUAUCUGUAUGUUGUGGAGGAGCAGAGUUCCACACUUUUUUUUUA